GUGAGGAAUAUUGGACAAUGGAUGGAAAUCUGAUCCAGCCAUGCCGCGUGCAGGAAGACGGCCCUAUGGGUUGUAAACUGCUUUUAUACGGGAGCAAUAAGGUCUAUGCAUAGAUUGAUGAGAGUACCGUAUGAAUAAGCAUCGGCUAACUCCGUGCCAGCAGCCGCGGUAAUACGGAGGAUGUGAGCGUUAUCCGGAUUUAUUGGGUUUAAAGGGUGCGUAGGCGGCUUUGUAAGUCAGCGGUGAAAUUUUGCAGCUUAACUGUAAAAGCGCCGGUGAUACUGUGAAGCUAGGAUUUGGUUGCUGUGGGCGGAAUGUGUGGUGUAGCGGUGAAAUGCAUAGAGAUCACACAGAAUAUCGAUUGCGAAGGCAGCUCACAAAGCCAAUAUUGACGCUGAGGCACGAAAGUGUGGGGAUCAAACAGGAUUAGAUACCCCAGUAGUCC
rnacentral:rRNA from 1 species